GAAGCUAGAAAAUUUUAUGGAUAAACUAGGAUUAGAUACCCUAUUAUAUUAAAAUGGAAUGUAGAUACUAGAUUAUUAAUAGAUAUGUUCUUGAAAUUUAAAGAAUUUGGCGGUAAUUUAGUCUAGUUAGAGGAACCUGUUUUAUAAUCGAUAUUCCACGUAAGAUCUUACUUACUUUAAUAGUUUGUAUACCAUCAUUAGCAGAUAAUUUUAUAAGAGAAAAGAAUUAUUAUUUAGGAUUUAUUAGAGAAAUUAGAUCAAGGUGCAGCUUAUAAGUAAGUUAAAAUGGGUUACAAUAAGUUUUAGUUAUAUGGAGUAUAGUUAGUAAGAGGCUUGUGAAGGAGGAUUUAAUUGUAAUAUAAGUUUAAUAAGCUAAGGUGAUAAAAGUUCUAAAUUAUGUACAUAUCGCC
rnacentral:rRNA from 1 species